UCCUUCCUUCCUGGCCUGCUAUGGUCUCCUGCCUUGACCUCUGUCCUUCCCAUCUAGCCUCCUGAUUUAUUCUUCCUCAGCCCACAUCUUCCAUCAGAGGAUCCCACGAAAACAGUGCCAAAGAGAAUUCAGAACUACGUCCACUGGUCCAGUAACCCAUGAUAAGAAAACUGAGGCUCAGAACGGGAAGUUCAUUGCUCAUCAUCAAACAUCCAGGAAAUGGUGGAGCCUGAAUGGGAACUCAGCUUCCAACAUGGCGUGGAUGUGGCCCAUCCCUUGGUGGCCUGGCUGGGUCUAUCUUAUGACAGUACGAGAUGGUGUCUUUUCUGGAUGCAAAUUCUGGAACUGUGGCAGCACCCCAGGGACCACAGAGGGAAGUGACCAGAGGACUAAGUCAAAACACUGCAGGUAGCCCACCAGAGAGGUGAGGAUCAGCUGGGUCUUUGAUGAAGUCACUGAGCUGGUGAAUUAACCAACGAUGGAGCCUCUUCAUGUCAUGAUUUUUCAGAUUCCCCUUCUGGGUUAGAGUUGCUUGGUCCUUGUAGCCAAAAUCAUCUUUAUAAGACCUCAAUGUUCAAUCAGAAUAUUGACUCAGAUCCCAAAUCUGAUCCCAAGCCACAAAUCCAAAUCCGAUUCUAACUUGAUUCCAUAUCUUGAAGCCACAUAAAUCAACAAACUCAACCAUGCCUCCAGUCUUAGCUCUCUUCCCAACCCUCAUCCCCAUAUCCCAUUUCAGCCCAUAUCCCAUUUUGGCCAUUGUUAAUGUGAAGAUGACCAAUUUAAUUUUUAGAAUAGUCUUUUUUAAAAAAACAAAUUAGUAAUUUGGAUCCUAUAGCUGACUACCUCUCAUCUAAAUUUAAUUUUUUCUUAGUUUUUCUUCUAUACAGUGGAUUUCUUAUUUUUUAGGGAAAAGUUGUUGAUUGUUUAUGCAAUAGUUUAACACCAAUCCUUUAUAUAUUUAACAAAUAUGGAUUGGGUGGUAGCUAUCUACCAAUGAGGAUACAAUGGUGUGCAAACCUAGAUAGUGUCUCUUCCCUCAAGGAGCUGAUAGUGUCAUGUAAAAGAAAUACAGUCAAUUCAUAAACAAGUGUAAAAUUACAACUACAAGGCAUGCUCUGAAAGACAGGUGCAGGGUAUUAUGAAGGCACUUCCAGAGGGGUUAGACCCAGGAAUUGACUAUGAGCUGAGAUUUGAAAGAAUAUUAAACUAGAAGAAAUCUUCUAGGAACUAGAAGUAGACUAGAAGAAAUCUUCUAGUAACUAGAAAUAGUAAACUAGAAGAAAAUUUCUUCUGGUAACUAGAAGAAAAUUUCUUCUGGUAACUAGAAGAAAAUGGGAGGAGAAUGGGGAGUGUGUUGUGUAGAGAAAAGAGCAUGUGCAAAGGCCCAAGGCAUUAUUGCUGGAGCUCGGAGGCCAGAGGUUAACUGGGACCAGAUAAUGACGAGCUCUGUAUGUCAUUGUGAGUCUUGCUUUAUCCUGUGGAUAAUGAAGAACUAUUUGAACCUUAGUCAGAGAAAUAACAUAACAAGAUUUGUAUUUUCAAAACAUCAACCUAGCUACUGUAUGAAGGCUGGAUUUGGGUGGGAUGUGAAGAUACUGGGCAACCAUGGGGGAAGUCAUUGUUGUUGUCUAGAUGAGGGAAGAUGGUGACUUGGAUACAGGUGGUUGAAAGGUGGAGACGAUGUUAAGUACAUGGGUUCAAAAUGCACUUAGGAGAGAGAAUCAACAAGCCUUGGUGAUGGAUUGAAUGAAGGUUGUGUUGAGGUAGUGGAAGAUGUUAAGAUUUCAAAGUCUGUUGCUCGAUGGACAGUGAUGCCAUUCAUUGAGAAGACAUGGUAGAUGUGGUCAAAUGGUUCUGAUAUGACAAGAAAAGACCUCAGACCCUGACUUCAAGCAGAACCCUAAAUCCAACCUUUACUUUGACACAACUCCCAACACGUAUUUUGACAUAAGCCCCAGCCUUUUUGUUUGUUUCAAUAGCUUUCGGGGUACAAGUGGCUUUUGGUUACAUGGAUGUAUCGUAUAGCAGUGAAGUCUGAGAUUUUAGUGCACCCAUCACCCAAGUAGUGUAUAUUGUACCCAAUAUUUAUAGUGUUUUAUCCCUUAUCCUCUUCAUACCCUCCCCCUUCUGAGUCUCCAGUGUCCAUUAUACCACUUGGUACCCACUGCUUAGCUCCCACUUACACAUGAGAACGUAAGGCAUUUGGUUUUCCAUUCCUGAGUUACUUCACUUAGAAUAAUGGCUUCCAACUCCAUCCAAGUUGCUUCAAAAGACAUUAUUUGAUUCUUUCUAUGGUUGAGUAGUAUUCCGUGGUGCAUACACAUCACAUUUUCUUUAUCCACUCAUCAGUUGAUGGGCACUUACUUUGGUUCCAUAUCUUUGCAAUUGUGAAUUGUACUGCGAUAAACAUACGUGUGUAUGUGUCUUUUUGAUAUAGUGACUUCUUUUCCUUUGGGUAGAUACCCAGUAGUGGGAUUGCUGGAUUGAAUUGUAGAUCUACUUUUAGUUCUUUGAGAAAUCACCAUACUGUUUUCCACAGAGGUUGUACUACUUUACAUUCCCACCAGCAGUGUAUAAGUGUUCCCUUUUCAUCACAUCCAUGCCAACAUCUAUUGUUUUUUUGACUCUUUAGUAAGCCCCAGUCUUAACCCCAAACCUUAAUCUGUACCCAAUCCUGAACCUCAAAUUCUGCUUUAUCCUUGAUGAACCCCAAUUUGUAUCUCAACCAAUAACCUAAAUCUUGACUGAGUUCUUGACUCCAAAUAUCAACUCAGGCUAGGAUCCAGACCUCAAUCAAACUUAACCCUCCUGACCCUUGACCUUAACCCUGAACCAUUAGCCAUAAGCCAAACUCAACCUUGACCUGAGCAGUGAAUGUCACCAUAGCCUGAGUAUCAAGCCUGCCACGGGAUAAUUCAGACAUUAGUCUCCAUUCCCAUCAUAUUCUAGGAAGCCCACAUUCAUAUCCUCCCCCAUGAACCCAUUCCCUCACAUCCAACACCAAUUCUAACACUCUCACCCCAUCCC
ensembl:lncRNA novel transcript, antisense to KLK6, KLK7, KLK8 and KLK9